GAUGAACGCUGGCGGCGUGCCUAAUACAUGCAAGUCGAGCGAACGGACGAGAAGCUUGCUUCUCUGAUGUUAGCGGCGGACGGGUGAGUAACACGUGGAUAACCUACCUAUAAGACUGGGAUAACUUCGGGAAACCGUAGCUAAUACCGGAUAAUAUUUUGAACCGCAUGGUUCAAAAGUGAAAGACGGUCUUGCUGUCACUUAUAGAUGGAUCCGCGCUGCAUUAGCUAGUUGGUAAGGUAACGGCUUACCAAGGCAACGAUGCAUAGCCGACCUGAGAGGGUGAUCGGCCACACUGGAACUGAGACACGGUCCAGACUCCUACGGGAGGCAGCAGUAGGGAAUCGUCCGCAAUGGGCGAAAGCCUGACGGAGCAACGCCGCGUGAGUGAUGAUGGUCUUCGGAUCGUAAAACUCUGUUAUUAGGGAAGAACAUAUGUGUAAGUAACUGUGCACAUCUUGACGGUACCUAAUCAGAAAGCCACGGCUAACUACGUG
rnacentral:rRNA from 1 species